rnacentral:rRNA from 1 species
AGGACGAACGCUGGCGGCGUGCUUAACACAUGCAAGUCGAACGCUGAAGCCUAGCUUGCUGGGUGGAUGAGUGGCGAACGGGUGAGUAACACGUGAGUAACCUGCCCUCUUCUUUGGGAUAACGCCCGGAAACGGGUGCUAAUACUGGAUAUUCACUGAUCUUCGCAUGGGGGUUGGUGGAAAGGUUUUUUUCUGGUGGGGGAUGGGCUCGCGGCCUAUCAGCUUGUUGGUGGGGUGAUGGCCUACCAAGGCUUUGACGGGUAGCCGGCCUGAGAGGGUGACCGGGUCAACGACUUGGGACUGGAGAUACGGCCCAGACUCCUACGGGAGGCAGCAGUGGGGAAUAUGCACAAUGGCGAAAGCCUGGAUGCAGCGACGCCGCGUGAGGAUGGAGGCCUUCGGGUUGUAAACCUCUUUCGCUUCAUGGUCAAGCCGCAGCUUGGUUGUGGUGAGGUAGUGGUAAAGAGCGCCGCGUAACUACGUGCCAGCAGCCGC